ensembl:lncRNA
CUAUUUUCAUUUUUGAAUUCUGAAUCAAGUCCCAAGGCAACAAGGCCCUGUUUCUUAGCAACACAGAUGGGUAGACUAUAUAUUCCACUGCUUUUGUACAAUGGAAGAAUAAACAACUCUCUGAAUGAGGGUGUGCUGCAAGUUGAUCUCUUUGCUUAACUUCUCCUAGAGAAGAAAGAGAAGCAUCCUGCAGUACAGCGUUUGAAGUUUGUCAGGAAGUGUCUGUUUUUGCAAUGCGGAAUCCCAGACUGAACAUUGGGAUAUUGAAGAGAAAGCAAUGUAGUAGAGACUCCACAAAUGUAUCCAUGCUAAUGUACCAACCUUCUAGUUCUCUGAAAUCUGUACAUCUGCAAACUCUACAGAAGAUACUAGCAACCCUGAGCUCUGUCUGUUAUCCUGACAGGCCAGGUAUGAGUUCUCUAAGAGUGCUGACCAACCAUAACAAAGUAGGUAUAUGUCCUUCAAGCACCACAAAAAUUGACACAGAGAGCUCCCUUCAUCAAUGA